GGGGCUGUAGCUCAGUGGUAGAGCGCCCGUUUCGCAUGCGGGAAGUCCGGGGUUCAAACCCCCGCAGCUCCA
rnacentral:tRNA from 1 species